rnacentral:misc_RNA from 1 species
AUGAAGUGCUUCUCAAGCUUUUGCAUGUAGUUCUUGAUGGUAAAGAUGAGAAAGCUCGGCGGGAGAUGAAAGGGUUGGUGUCGAAGAUGCUUCGUGAGAAUUCUUCUCAGAAUGAUCUUCGAAAGGAAUCCUUGUACUCAGCUUGUGAUGGGUGUUUGCAAUUGCUUCAUAACCAUUUUCUCCGUGCAGCAGAAGGAGAUUUGGAGGAUAUUGGUCAGAUUGCACGGCAAGCAGAUAACCUGCAUUGGAUUUUGGAUAUUUUGAUUGACAGACAGAUUGCUGAAGAUUUUCUGAAAACCUGG